rnacentral:rRNA from 1 species
AACAAACGCUGGCGGCGUGCCUAACACAUGCAAGUCGUACGAGAAAGUCGGCUUCGGCCGAUGAGUACAGUGGCGCACGGGUGAGUAGCGCGUGGGUAAUCUGCCCCCCGGUCAGGAAUAACCCGCCGAAAGGCGGGCUAAUACCCGAUAACACUGACGCUCCGCGGAGCGUCUUUCAAAGAAGGCCUCUGUUUACAAGCUUUCGCCGGAGGAUGAGCCCGCGUACCAUUAGCUAGUUGGCAGGGUAAUGGCCUACCAAGGCUACGAUGGUUAGCUGGUCUGAGAGGACGAUCCCCCACACUGGUACUGAGACACGGACCAGACUCCUACGGGAGGCAGCAGUGAGGAAUUUUGGACAAUGGGGGCAACCCUGAUCCAGCCAUGCCGCGUGAGUGAAGAAGGCCUUCGGUUGUUAAAGACUCUUUCUAGACGGAAAGAAAACGACAUACGGUGAAUACCCGGUAGUGGAGUGAGGUACCGUAAGAAGAAGACACCGGCUAACUACGUAGCCAGCAGCCGCGGUAAACG